GACGAACCGUGCGAACGUUGUUCGGAAUCACUGGGCUUAAAGGGCGCGUAGGCGGGCCUUCAAGUCCGGGGUGAAAUCCUCCAGCCUAACUGGAGAAGAGCCUCGGAGACUGAGGGCCUCGAGGAGGGUAGGGGCAAGCGGAACUAUGGGUGGAGCGGUGAAAUGCAUUGAUAUCCAUAGGAACUCUGGUGGCGAAGGCGGCUUGCUGGACCCUUUCUGACGCUGAGGCGCGAAAGCCAGGGGAGCAAACGGG
rnacentral:rRNA from 1 species